rnacentral:rRNA from 1 species
CUGCAGCUCAAGUGGUGGCCGCUAUUAUUGGGCCUAAAACGUCCGUAGCCGGUUUAGUAAAUGCCUGGGUAAAUCGUGUAGCUUAACUAUACGACUUCCGGGUAGACUGCUAGACUUGGGACCGGGAGAGGCUAGAGGUACUCCUGGGGUAGAGGUGAAAUUCUGUAAUCCUAGGGGGACCACCCGUGGCGAAGGCGUCUAGCUAGAACGGGUCUGACGGUGAGGGACGAAGCCCUGGGGCGCAAACCGGAUUAGAUACCCGCGUAGUCC